UCUAAAUUAGUGAAUAUGUAGUCCCUAAUGCUGAAAGUUGAGCGGGACAAGAGGCGCCACUUUUUUUUUCCUCUUAAAAGAAUCAAAAAAUUUUAAAAAUAAAACACAUAAACAUUUAUUUCUCACAUUCAUGGACGGCAAAAAGAUCUCUCAAAUUCCCAAACCCUCAUCUCCCAAAACCUAACAUUCAUCUCUCAAAAGAUUCCCUUAGUUUUUGAGGGUUGUCCAUGGCAUUGAUAACUAUCAUAGAACCUUUGCACUAUUCAGUAAUUUUUCAGCCUUGAGCACAUAUAUUGCUACUCAAAUGAAUUUGAAGGGCGACAAACUCUAGGAGAGGUGAACGGUGAAUACAGUUUCGUAAACAAGGGAAUGGUUUCUGGAAUCAGUACUGUGCUUAACGGGAAAUUUAGUGCUAUUGUUGUAUGGAUGCUGGUUCUUACUGCUGCAUUUUGUGAAUCUAUCUUUUACUUGGUGCAAAGAUUUCUAAUUCAUAAGCAUUUGGUUUGUUCUCCCGAUGUGCUUGCAUAUAGACUUUAUUUUUUGUGAGAAGUACAUAAGCUUGAAUGCUAAUAAGGAUUCAUAUGCUUGGGUAGGAAUGGUGAAGAUGACUCCCCAUCUAAAAUGAAGGAAGCUUAGGAGGCCUCACAAGCUAAAAAUACAGUAUUAUUUCUUAUCAAUUACCUUGAGUUUCAUUCCCUUAAUUUAGACCUGCGGUUCCCUUUAUUUUUGUCAUAAAUUAUGAACAAAAAAAGUGCACUUCCUGAUGCUAGGGUGAGGAUCAUCCGUGUUUAUUCUCACUUUAACUGAUUGUUAUUAUGCAGAUAGGUGGAUCUUAUUGCUUCU